CCCUUAGAUGUUCUGGGCCGCACGCGCGCUACACUGACGGAGCCAACGAGUAUUUUCCUUGUCCGGAAAGACUGGGUAAUCUUGUGAAACUUUGUCGUGCUGGGGAUAGAGCAUUGUAAUUAUUGCUCUUCAACGAGGAAUUCCUAGUAAGCGUGAGUCAUCAGCUCGCGUUGAUUACGUCCCUGCCCUUUGUACACACCGCCCGUCGCUACUACCGAUUGAAUGGCUUAGUGAGCCUUUGGGAUUGGCAGCCAACACCGGCAACGGUAGCUGGCCGCCGAAAACUUAUGCAAACUUGGUCAUUUAGAGGAAGUAAAAGUCGUAACA
rnacentral:rRNA from 1 species